AUUGAACGCUGGCGGAAUGCUUUACACAUGCAAGUCGAACGGCAGCACGGACUUCGGUCUGGUGGCGAGUGGCGAACGGGUGAGUAAUGUAUCGGAACGUGCCCAGUCGUGGGGGAUAACGUAGUGAAAAUUACGCUAAUACCGCAUACGAUCUAUGGAUGAAAGCGGGGGAUCGCAAGACCUCGCGCGAUUGGAGCGGCCGAUAUCAGAUGAGGUAGUUGGUGGGGUAAAGGCCCACCAAGCCAACGAUCUGUAGCGGGUCGCAGAGGACGACCAGCCACACUGGAACUGAGACACGGUCCAGAAUCCUACGGGAGGCAGCAGUGGGGAAUUUUGGACAAUGGGCGAAAGCCUGAUCCAGCCAUUCCGCGUGCAGGAUGAAGGCCCUCGGGUUGUAAACUGCUUUUGUACAGAACGAAAAGGUUUCUACUAAUACUAGGAGCUCAUGACGGUACUGUAAGAAUAAGCACCGGCUAACUACGUGCCAGCCGCCGCAGUAA
rnacentral:rRNA from 1 species